rnacentral:rRNA from 1 species
AACGAACGCUGGCGGCAGGCUUAACACAUGCAAGUCGAACGGGUGUAGCAAUACAUCAGUGGCAGACGGGUGAGUAACACGUGGGAACCUUCCUAGGGGUACGGAACAACUCAGGGAAACUUGAGCUAAUACCGUAUACGUCCGUAAGGAGAAAGAUUCAUCGCCCCUAGACGGGCCCGCGUCGGAUUAGGUAGUUGGUGGGGUAACGGCCUACCAAGCCUACGAUCCGUAGCUGAUCUGAGAGGANGAUCAGCCACACUGGGACUGAGACACGGCCCAGACUCCUACGGGAGGCAGCAGUGGGGAAUUUUGGACAAUGGGGCAACCCUGAUCCAGCCAUUCCGCGUGAGUGAAGAAGGCCUUCGGUUG